rnacentral:lncRNA from 1 species
CUUUCAUGGAUAGGAGCCCACUUUGUUGAAGAAGCACAUCCAAAAAGCAGGCUACAAUCCAUGUUUACGGCAAAUAAGAAUUUGUUUGUAUGUAAUGGGCAACAAAACUCGUUAUUUAUUUAUUUUAUGCUGCCUUUCUCCAAGUGCUGUUUACAUUUAUGUUCUCAGCCAUUUGCUGCAUUGUAUCUUUUUUUUUAAGAAUAGCAAAAACCAUUUCUUCACAAUGGAUGGGUUAAAUAAAAGGGGGAAAUUAUGGUGCUAGAUCUCAUAAUAAGUCCAAUAAAUAAAUAAAUAAUUUCUCAUAUGCAGUUCUUAAUAAACAAAUUCUUGUCUUAAAAGGUGGUGUUUUAAGCAAACUAAAUGCAGAUUUUAGAGUCUCCUAGCAGAGGCUGAGGUUAGCAUACUUGACCAGGGAUGGAGGAGGUGACAACAGCUUUUUCAGAAAUCCUUUAAUGCUAAAAUGUUGCCUAUUUGUUCAUAUCUGCACACCAGGCGGAUUACAUAACUGCACAGAGAGAGCAGCUGCAAGAGUAGAUGAUACAGAUUAGAGAUUAUGUUGAUUCAGCAGAUUGUCGUGUGGAUGUUUGAGAAAGAUUACAGCAUAGAAGUAAAGACUACCCAUUUCUACAGGAAACCUUUUUUGGUCUAAGAGUGAACUGGACAAGCACAUCUCUAUCCACAUGCCAGUGCUGAGCAAAGUUGAGAUAAUCCUCAACAUGAUUUCUGGAUCCAGCAAACAAAGAAGGAAAAUUCUGAGGCAUGUGACUUUAUCACAGGGUAAGUGGGAUAAAACAAUCUUUUUAAAUCGCAGAAAAUGGGUAAACUGUAUGGGCCUUGACUACAUGCUGCAUGUUCACUCCUCUUUUCACACAUUCAAAACUUAAAAAUAAGUUUUAAAUUAUUUAGGUUUCAAUCUAAUUACCUUAUAUAAUGAUAAUCAUGUCCCAUCAAGUCGAUUCUGACAUACGCAACCCUUGUUAGAGUUUUUGAGGUAGAGAAUAUUCAUACUUCUUCUAGAAGCAUCCUGGGACGGUGCAGCUGGCCCAAAGCCACCCAGGCUGGCUCUUCUGGGGUGCCCAGUAGGGAAUUGAGCUCCCAACCUCCUAAUUCACCGAGCUAUCCAGCCAACAGCAUCUAAUAGUAUACAAAUUCUAAUUUUAAAAUAAACUUAAUAUAA